rnacentral:pre_miRNA from 1 species
UGAUGAUGAUGAUGAUGAUGAUGAUGAUGCUGAUGAUGGUGAUGAUGAUGAUGCAGGAUAAUCAUCACCAUCAUCAUCAUCAUCAUCAUCAUCAUCACAA